UGUUAAACCUGGCUCUAAAAGCAAGGCGUCAAAACAGACUGUUGAACGCUCACUGAGGUAGAAAACCAAAGCCCACAGCAGUGUCCCACAUUAGGAGCCAAUGGGUGAAAAUGAGGGAUUGGAAAGGUGAAACAGCAAACGGAGGAAGGCUGACUGGCGCGCUGCCUGACUGGACAGCCUGACACAGCCACCAGCCUCAACCCGGGUCAGGGAGACCUGUGGGGCCCUGUCUCUUUCCCUGAAGCCAACAAUAAAGUGACAGGCACCCAAGAGAAUAUACUGCCUGUCUGAACCCAGAUGAAGCACCGUCAAGGGGGAUUGCCAGAAAAACGUACUCUGUCCAAAUGGUUCUGUGGACUGAAUUUACUCUAGUUCCUGAAGUGUGGAAAAAGUAAACAAGGUUUUGUUUGGAUUCCAACCUUAAGUUUCUCUGGACUAAAACCCAGCAAAGUGGCAGAAAGUUAUCCCAAAGAAAAAAAAAUUGUCCCUGAGACAGGGAGCCAGGAUGGCUGGGAGAAACCUUGGCUUCCCAGGUUGAGGGGAAUGCAUGACAAAGCUCAGCUGAGUUUGCCACCAGACCUAUUAUGCUCCUUAUAAUGGGAAACCAGCUUUUGUAUGUCGUGAGGAUAUUCAGACAUCGAUGUGGAGAGCUUCACAAGGCCUAUAAUUAAAGCGUGCCCAACAGUCUGUGGAACAACCAUGCGAUCCUCUGACCUUCAGAUGACCACAGCCCCUGCUGGUAGCUUGACCAUAAGUUCAUGAGAGACCUUGAACCCUGGCUGAGCUGCUCCUGGAUUGCUGACUCUUAGAAACUAUGUGGUAUGUUCAGUGUUUGUGUUUUAAGCUGCUAAAUUUUGGGAUAGUUUGUUACACAGCAACAGACAACAAACAUACCAUUGUUUCAUUUUAAAAAUGCUUACUUAGGCGGAGCACAGUGGCUCACGCCUAUAAUCCCAGCACUUUGGGAGGCCGAGGCACGUGGAUCAUGAGGUCAGGAGUUUGAGACCAGCCUGGCCAAUAUGGUGAAACCCCGUCUCUACUAAAAAUACAAAAAAAAAAUGAGUGGUGCGUGGUGAUGGACGCCUGUAAUCCCAGUUACUCGGGAGGCUAAGGCAGGAGAAUUGCUUGAAACCAGAAGGUGGAGGUUGCAGUGAGCCGAGAUCACGCCAUUGCACUGCAGCCUGGGCAACAAGAGUGGACUCUGUUUCAAAAUAAAUAAAUAAAUAAAUACAGUUAAAAAGAAAUAAAAUGCUUACUUAGUUACAAAUACAUACAGAACUCUUAAAAUUGUUACUUUUGGUGGGGCGUGGAGGCUCACGCCUGUAAUCCCGGCACUUUUGGAGGCCGAGGUGGGCAAAUUACAUGAGGCCAGGAGUUUGAGACCAGCUUGGCCAACAUGGUGAAACCCAUCUCUACUAAAAAUACUGGGUGUGGUGGUGCACGUUUGUAAUCUCAGCUACUCAGGAGGCUGAGGCACAAGAACUUCUUGAACCUGAAAGGUGGAGGUUACAGGGAGCUGAGAUGGUUCCACUGCACUCCAGCCUGGGUGACAAAGAAAGACUCUGUCUCAAAACAAACAAACAAACAAACAAAAACAGCUGAAAAAUGCAAUAUUUAAUGUGCAGAGCAGAGCAGUUCAACUGGUGCACAGAAUCAGUGAAGGGGAAUAUUGGGGAGUAAGAUUGAGAAAGGUAAAUUGAUGUCCUUUUAUUCUUGGCCCUUAGUGCUGGGACGAGCAACCAGUGAGCCAAGCACCAGGUGGUUGUUAAUUGUCUAAAUCAAGAUCCAAACCAGGUCCACAGAUUACAUUUAGUUCUUUGCCUUUUAAAUCCAUUUUAAUGUAGGUUCUUCCCCUCUCCAACCUUCACAUAUUU
rnacentral:lncRNA from 10 species